GAGUUUGAUCGUGGCUCAGGAUGAACGCUGGCGGCGUGCCUAAUACAUGCAAGUAGAACGCUGAAGCUUGGUGCUUGCACCGAGCGGAUGAGUUGCGAACGGGUGAGUAACGCGUAGGUAACCUGCCUGGUAGCGGGGGAUAACUAUUGGAAACGAUAGCUAAUACCGCAUAACAGUAGAUAUUGCAUGAUAUCUGCUUGAAAGGUGCAAUUGCAUCACUACCAGAUGGACCUGCGUUGUAUUAGCUAGUUGGUGAGGUAACGGCUCACCAAGGCGACGAUACAUAGCCGACCUGAGAGGGUGAUCGGCCACACUGGGACUGAGACACGGCCCAGACUCCUACGGGAGGCAGCAGUAGGGAAUCUUCGGCAAUGGGGGGAACCCUGACCGAGCAACGCCGCGUGAGUGAAGAAGGUUUUCGGAUCGUAAAGCUCUGUUGUAAGAGAAGAACGAGUGUGAGAGUGGAAAGUUCACACUGUGACGGUAUCUUACCAGAAA
rnacentral:rRNA from 1 species